ACGGGUGAGUAACACGUGGGAACGUACCCUUUGGUUCGGAAUAACGCUGGGAAACUAGCGCUAAUACCGGAUACGCCCUUUUGGGGAAAGGCUUGCUGCCGAAGGAUCGGCCCGCGUCUGAUUAGCUAGUUGGUGGGGUAAUGGCCUACCAAGGCGACGAUCAGUAGCUGGUCUGAGAGGAUGAUCAGCCACACUGGGACUGAGACACGGCCCAGACUCCUACGGGAGGCAGCAGUGGGGAAUAUUGGACAAUGGGCGCAAGCCUGAUCCAGCCAUGCCGCGUGAGUGAUGAAGGCCUUAGGGUUGUAAAGCUCUUUUGUCCGGGACGAUAAUGACGGUACCGGAAGAAUAAGCCCCGGCUAACUUCGUGCCAGCAGCCGCGGUAAUACGAAGGGGGCUAGCGUUGCUCGGAAUCACUGGGCGUAAAGGGCGCGUAGGCGGCCAUUCAAGUCGGGGGUGAAAGCCUGUGGCUCAACCACAGAAUUGCCUUCGAUACUGUUUGGCUUGAGUAUGGUAGAGGUCGGUGGAACUGCGAGUGUAGAGGUGAAAUUCGUAGA
rnacentral:rRNA from 1 species